rnacentral:rRNA from 1 species
GACAGAGGGGGCGAGCGUUGUCCGGAGUCGCUGGGCGUAAAGCGCGCGCAGGCGGUCGCCGAAGUGUCGGGUGAAAGCCCCCGGCUCAACCGGGGGAGGCCAUGGCAAACUCGGGGACUGGCGCGGCGGAGAGGCCCCUGGAAUUGCCGGCGUAGCGGUGAAAUGCGUAGAGAUUGCCAGGAAGACCAGGGGGGAAGCCACGGGGCUGGGCGCUCGCUGACUCUCAGGCGCGACAGCGUGGGGAGCGAACCGG